rnacentral:lncRNA from 1 species
UGUUUGGUUCGGGAACAAGGGGGGGAAUAGGCCCUUGUUCCCCCCUUUGUUCCCAAACGCAAUGUUUGGUUCCCGGGAACAGUAGUUCCCGGGAAUCUGGAACUAUCUGGAACUAGCUAGUAUAAGGCUGGAACUGCUGUUCCACCCGUUUCCUGGAACAAGCUUAUUCCUGGAUGAGAACAAGAUUAAUUAAAAUCUAAAUUUAAUUUUAAUGGCAGUAAAUUAUUAAUUAAUCUAAUUAAUAUAUUUAAAUUAUUAUUUAUUACUUUAAUAAUUAAAUAAUUUAAAUAAUUUAUUAUUUAUAAUUAAAUAUUAAUAAUUAGAUAAUUAUUAUUAUUAAUUUAUUAUUUAUAAUUAAUUAUAAAUAAUUAAUAAUAUUCAUUAUUUUUUUAUUAAUAAUUAUUAUUUAUUCUUAAUGACAAUCGAUAUUAUUAUUAAUUUAUUAUUUAUAAUUAAUUCUUAAUAAUUAAUAAUUAUUAUUAUUUAUUAUUAAUUAUUAAUAAUUUUUAUUCUUAAUAAUUAGAUAAUCGAUAUUAUUAUUAAUUUAUUAUUUAUAAUUAAUAAUAAUUAUUAUUUAUUAAUAAUUAUUAAUAAUUUUUAUUCUUAAUAAUUAGAUAAUCGAUAUUAUUAUUAAUUUAUUAUUUAUAAUUAAUAAUUAAUAAUUAAUAAUAAUUAUUAUUUAUUAAUAAUUAAUUAAUAAUUCUUAUUCUUAAUAAUUAGAUAAUGGAUAUUAUUAUUAAUUUAUUAUUUAUAAUUAAAUAAUAAUAAUUAUUAUUAUUUAUUAAUAAAUAUUAAUAUUAAUUAUUAUUAAUAAUUAGAUAAUCAAUAUUAUUAUUAAUUUAUUAUUUAUAAUUAAUUAAUAAGAAUAAUUAAUAAUUAUUAUUAUUUAUUAAAAAUUAAUAAUAAUUAUUAUUAUUAUUAAUUAGUUCAUCCAUAUUAUUAAUAUAUUAUUUAUAAUUAAUUAUUAAUAAUAAUUAUUAUUUAAAAUUAAUUAUUAAUAAUUAAAUUCUUAUUUAUUUUUAAGUAAUAUUUUUAUUACUAUUAAUUAUAUAAUAUAAUUUUAAUUUCAAAUUAUAACUCUUAUUCCUCUUGUUCCAAUCUAACCAUCCAAACACUAUUUGCCUUAUUCCUAGGAACAACCCAAUUUUCAUCCAAACACAAAAUUGGUCUAGUUCUUGCUUAUACCUGAACUUGUACCUAUCCCUAGAACUAGCAGUUCUUACUUAUACCCGAACCAAACGCAGCCUUAGAGUUUUCUCUUUUUUCCUCUCUCUUUGGUAAGAAAUUAAAAUGAGCUUUUGAAAGUUUUUCUUAGGAGAAUUAGUGCAAAAUCUAAAGUGCUUCGUCAAACAGCUCUAUUCAAUGAAGACAUUUAGAGAAGC